CCUACGGGAGGCAGCAGUGGGGAAUAUUGCACAAUGGGGGAAAGCCUGAUGCAGCAACGCCGCGUGGGUGAAGGAGCGUUUCGGCGCGUAAAGCCCUUUCAGCGGGGAAGAAGAAAGUCGGUCCCCGACCAAGGAGCCCCGGCGAACUACGUGCCAGCAGCGGCGGUAAUACGUAGGGGGCGAGCGUGAGCCGGAAUUACUGGGUGGACAGGGACCGCAGGCGGCAUGUCAAGCCUGAUGUGAACGCCCGCGGCACAACCGCGGGACUGCAUUGGGAACUACCGGGCUGGAGUGCGGGAGAGGUAGGCGGAAUUCCUAGUGUAGCGGUGAAAGGCGUAGAUAUUAGGAGGAACACCAGUGGCGAAGGCGGCCUACUGGACGGUGACUGACGCUGAGGCUCGAAAGCGUGGGGAGCAAACAGGAUUAGAUACCCCAGUAGUC
rnacentral:rRNA from 1 species